rnacentral:rRNA from 1 species
UACGUAGGUGGCAAGCGUUGUCCGGAUUUACUGGGCGUAAAGGGCGUGCAGGCGGUUUGUUUAGUCUAGGGUGAAAGCUCCCGGCUUAACUGGGAGAGGUCCUUGGAUACUGGCAAACUUGAGGGAGGCAGAGGAAAGUGGAAUUCCCGGUGUAGUGGUGAUAUGCGUAGAAAUCGGGAGGAACACCAGUGGCGAAGGCGGCUUUCUGGGCCUUACCUGACGCUGAGACGCGAAAGCGUGGGGAGCGAACCGG